UACAGAGGUCCCAAGCGUUGUUCGGAUUCACUGGGCGUAAAGGGUGCGUAGGUGGCGGGGCAAGUUUGAUGUGAAAUCUCCGGGCUUAACCCGGCAAUGGCAUUGAAUACUGCUUUGCUGGAGGGUUGGAGGGGGGACUGGAAUUCUCGGUGUAGCAGUGAAAUGCGUAGAUAGCGAGAGGAACAACAGUGGCGAAGGCGAGUCCCGGGACAACACCUGACACUGAGGCACGAAAGCUAGGGGAGCAAACAGG
rnacentral:rRNA from 1 species